rnacentral:rRNA from 1 species
UUUUGAGUUUGAUCGUGGCUCAGAUUGAGCGCUGGCGGCAGGCUUAACACAUGCAAGUCGGAGCGGUAGCACAAGGGAGCUUGCUCCCUGGGUGACGAGCGGCGGACGGGUGAGUAAUGUCUGGGAAACUGCCUGAUGGAGGGGGAUAACUACUGGAAACGGUAGCUAAUACCGCAUAACGUCGCAAGACCAAAGAGGGGGACCUUCGGGCCUCUUGCCAUCAGAUGUGCCCAGAUGGGAUUAGCUAGUAGGUGGGGUAAUGGCUCACCUAGGCGACGAUCCCUAGCUGGUCUGAGAGGAUGACCAGCCACACUGGAACUGAGACACGGUCCAGACUCCUACGGGAGGCAGCAGUGGGGAAUAUUGCACAAUGGGCGCAAGCCUGAUGCAGCCAUGCCGCGUGUGUGAAGAAGGCCUUCGGGUUGUAAAGCACUUUCAGCGAGGAGGAAGGUGGUGAGCUUAAUACGCUCAUCAAUUGACGUUACUCGCAGAAGAAGCACCGGCUAACUCCGUGCCAGCCGCCGCCGUAACACAAA